UAAGCGACUAAGCGUACACGGUGGAUGCCCUGGCAGUCAGAGGCGAUGAAGGACGUGCUAAUCUGCGAUAAGCGUCGGUAAGGUGAUAUGAACCGUUAUAACCGGCGAUUUCCGAAUGGGGAAACCCAGUGUGUUUCGACACACUAUCAUUAACUGAAUCCAUAGGUUAAUGAGGCGAACCGGGGGAACUGAAACAUCUAAGUACCCCGAGGAAAAGAAAUCAACCGAGAUUCCCCCAGUAGCGGCGAGCGAACGGGGAGCAGCCCAGAGCCUGAAUCAGUGUGUGUGUUAGUGGAAGCGUCUGGAAAGGCGCGCGAUACAGGGUGACAGCCCCGUACACAAAAAUGCACAUGCUGUGAGCUCGAUGAGUAGGGCGGGACACGUGGUAUCCUGUCUGAAUAUGGGGGGACCAUCCUCCAAGGCUAAAUACUCCUGACUGACCGAUAGUGAACCAGUACCGUGAGGGAAAGGCGAAAAGAACCCCGGCGAGGGGAGUGAAAAAGAACCUGAAACCGUGUACGUACAAGCAGUGGGAGCACAGAGCAAUCUGUGUGACUGCGUACCUUUUGUAUAAUGGGUCAGCGACUUAUAUUCUGUAGCAAGGUUAACCGAAUAGGGGAGCCGAAGGGAAACCGAGUCUUAACUGGGCGUUAAGUUGCAGGGUAUAGACCCGAAACCCGGUGAUCUAGCCAUGGGCAGGUUGAAGGUUGGGUAACACUAACUGGAGGACCGAACCGACUAAUGUUGAAAAAUUAGCGGAUGACUUGUGGCUGGGGGUGAAAGGCCAAUCAAACCGGGAGAUAGCUGGUUCUCCCCGAAAGCUAUUUAGGUAGCGCCUCGUGAAUUCAUCUCCGGGGGUAGAGCACUGUUUCGGCAAGGGGGUCAUCCCGACUUACCAACCCGAUGCAAACUGCGAAUACCGGAGAAUGUUAUCACGGGAGACACACGGCGGGUGCUAACGUCCGUCGUGAAGAGGGAAACAACCCAGACCGCCAGCUAAGGUCCCAAAGUCAUGGUUAAGUGGGAAACGAUGUGGGAAGGCCCAGACAGCCAGGAUGUUGGCUUAGAAGCAGCCAUCAUUUAAAGAAAGCGUAAUAGCUCACUGGUCGAGUCGGCCUGCGCGGAAGAUGUAACGGGGCUAAACCAUGCACCGAAGCUGCGGCAGCGACGCUUAUGCGUUGUUGGGUAGGGGAGCGUUCUGUAAGCCUGCGAAGGUGUGCUGUGAGGCAUGCUGGAGGUAUCAGAAGUGCGAAUGCUGACAUAAGUAACGAUAAAGCGGGUGAAAAGCCCGCUCGCCGGAAGACCAAGGGUUCCUGUCCAACGUUAAUCGGGGCAGGGUGAGUCGACCCCUAAGGCGAGGCCGAAAGGCGUAGUCGAUGGGAAACAGGUUAAUAUUCCUGUACUUGGUGUUACUGCGAAGGGGGGACGGAGAAGGCUAUGUUGGCCGGGCGACGGUUGUCCCGGUUUAAGCGUGUAGGCUGGUUUUCCAGGCAAAUCCGGAAAAUCAAGGCUGAGGCGUGAUGACGAGGCACUACGGUGCUGAAGCAACAAAUGCCCUGCUUCCAGGAAAAGCCUCUAAGCAUCAGGUAACAUCAAAUCGUACCCCAAACCGACACAGGUGGUCAGGUAGAGAAUACCAAGGCGCUUGAGAGAACUCGGGUGAAGGAACUAGGCAAAAUGGUGCCGUAACUUCGGGAGAAGGCACGCUGAUAUGUAGGUGAAGUCCCUCGCGGAUGGAGCUGAAAUCAGUCGAAGAUACCAGCUGGCUGCAACUGUUUAUUAAAAACACAGCACUGUGCAAACACGAAAGUGGACGUAUACGGUGUGACGCCUGCCCGGUGCCGGAAGGUUAAUUGAUGGGGUUAGCGCAAGCGAAGCUCUUGAUCGAAGCCCCGGUAAACGGCGGCCGUAACUAUAACGGUCCUAAGGUAGCGAAAUUCCUUGUCGGGUAAGUUCCGACCUGCACGAAUGGCGUAAUGAUGGCCAGGCUGUCUCCACCCGAGACUCAGUGAAAUUGAACUCGCUGUGAAGAUGCAGUGUACCCGCGGCAAGACGGAAAGACCCCGUGAACCUUUACUAUAGCUUGACACUGAACAUUGAGCCUUGAUGUGUAGGAUAGGUGGGAGGCUUUGAAGUGUGGACGCCAGUCUGCAUGGAGCCGACCUUGAAAUACCACCCUUUAAUGUUUGAUGUUCUAACGUGGACCCGUAAUCCGGGUUGCGGACAGUGUCUGGUGGGUAGUUUGACUGGGGCGGUCUCCUCCUAAAGAGUAACGGAGGAGCACGAAGGUUGGCUAAUCCUGGUCGGACAUCAGGAGGUUAGUGCAAUGGCAUAAGCCAGCUUGACUGCGAGCGUGACGGCGCGAGCAGGUGCGAAAGCAGGUCAUAGUGAUCCGGUGGUUCUGAAUGGAAGGGCCAUCGCUCAACGGAUAAAAGGUACUCCGGGGAUAACAGGCUGAUACCGCCCAAGAGUUCAUAUCGACGGCGGUGUUUGGCACCUCGAUGUCGGCUCAUCACAUCCUGGGGCUGAAGUAGGUCCCAAGGGUAUGGCUGUUCGCCAUUUAAAGUGGUACGCGAGCUGGGUUUAGAACGUCGUGAGACAGUUCGGUCCCUAUCUGCCGUGGGCGCUGGAGAAUUGAGGGGGGCUGUUCCUAGUACGAGAGGACCGGAGUGGACGCAUCACUGGUGUUCGGGUUGUCAUGCCAAUGGCACUGCCCGGUAGCUAAAUGCGGAAGAGAUAAGUGCUGAAAGCAUCUAAGCACGAAACUUGCCCCGAGAUGAGUUCUCCCUGACUCCUUGAGAGUCCUGAAGGAACGUUGAAGACGACGACGUUGAUAGGCCGGGUGUGUAAGCGCAGCGAUGCGUUGAGCUAACCGGUACUAAUGAACCGUGAGGCUUAACCU
rnacentral:rRNA from 1 species